AUAUUGACAUUUGCAAGAUAAGUCUAACUUGACCAUGCUUUCUAAACAUUCAAGAAGAAAAAAGAAGUACUCCACCUAAAAAAUGGAAACAGGUAACAACCUGUGUCUUCAGUCAUCAACAUCAGGGAGCCAAGAUGCCAGGACUUUGUUGGAUGACAAUGGUUAAUAAUUUGUAUUAUGCAAAACUUUAGAAGACUAAGUAGAUUCCAACAUCCGUAAGUAGAAAACAUGAUGCAUUUGAGAAGGCAAAGAGGCUAUUGACUCAGAAAAAAAGUAAAUUAUACAGAAAUGUCCUAUCCAGUGAAUAUUAUCCUAAGAUGCAACCUGUCAGAUGGACAAAGACAUGCAAAGCAACAGACAGUAUUCAACCUAAGUCCAAAAAUGGGAAGCCUCUCAGGAAGGUUUCCUAGCUUGAGUUCCAACUAGCAGAAACCCCAGGAUUGCAACCACAUAAUGAAAAGUUGAUGGUGUAUCUUUUCCUAAACAUUCCAUAUCCAUCACAUCUUGAAUGGCACUGGCUUAUGCAAUUUUUUCUCCAACGUUGAGCUGUUUCAUUAUCUUUUUGUGUUCACAACUUAAUACCUUGCGUUAAAGAAAGGUUUUAAAAAUAAAAUAUUUUGAGAUGUUAAAGUUGUGGAUUUUUGUUUGUUUGUGUUUGUUUUAAGGCAAAGUCUUAUUCUGUCACCUAGGAUGGAGUGCAGUGGUACGAUUACAGCUCACUGCCGCCUCAACCUCCUGGGCUCAAGCAAUCUUCUAGUCUCCGUC
rnacentral:lncRNA from 10 species